rnacentral:piRNA from 1 species
UGCCCUAUGUUAGCUUUCCACUGCUGUGACA